AUUGAACGCUGGCGGCAGGCCUAACACAUGCAAGUCGAACGAGUGGCGGACGGGUGAGGAAUGUCUGGGAAACUGCCCGUUGGAGGGGGAUAACUACUGGAAACGGUAGCUAAUACCGCAUACCAUCGGAUGUGCCCAGAUGGGAUUAGCUAGUUGGUGGGGUAACGGCUCACCUAGGCGACGAUCCCUAGCUGGUCUGAGAGGAUGACCAGCCACACUGGAACUGAGACACGGUCCAGACUCCUACGGGAGGCAGCAGUGGGGAAUAUUGCACAAUGGGCGAAAGCCUGAUGGAGCAAUGCCGCGUGUAUGAAGAAGGCCUUCGGGUCGUAAAGUACUUUCAGCGAGGAGGCGGUACUCGCCGAGGAAGCCCCGGCUAACUCCGUGCCAGCAGCCGCGGUAAUAC
rnacentral:rRNA from 1 species